rnacentral:rRNA from 1 species
UACGUAGGGUCCGAGCGUUGUCCGGAUUUAUUGGGCGUAAAAGGCUUGUAGGUGGCCACGCCAAGUCGGAUGUGAAAUCUCCCGGCUCAACUGGGAGGGGUCAUUCGAUACUGGCGGCUCGAGGCCGGUAGGGGGAAGUGGAAUUCCUGGUGUAGCGGUGGAAUGCGCAGAUAUCAGGAGGAACACCAAUAGCGAAGGCAGCUCGCUGGGACGGUACUGACGCUAAGGCGCGAAAGCGUGGGGAGCGAACGAGG